rnacentral:rRNA from 1 species
GACGAACGCUGGCGGCGUGCUUAACACAUGCAAGUCGAACGGAAAGGCCCUGCUUUUGUGGGGGGCUCGAGUGGCGAACGGGUGAGUAACACGUGAGUAACCUGCCCUUGACUUUGGGAUAACUUCAGGAAACUGGGGCUAAUACCGGAUAGGAGCUCCUGCUGCAUGGUGGGGGUUGGAAAGUUUCGGCGGUUGGGGAUGGACUCGCGGCUUAUCAGCUUGUUGGUGGGGUAGUGGCUUACCAAGGCUUUGACGGGUAGCCGGCCUGAGAGGGUGACCGGCCACAUUGGGACUGAGAUACGGCCCAGACUCCUACGGGAGGCAGCAGUGGGGAAUAUUGCACAAUGGGGGGAAGCCUGAUGAAGCAACGCCGCGUGCGGGAUGACGGCCUUCGGGUUGUAAACCGCUUUCGCCUGUGACGAAGCGUGAGUGACGGUAAUGGGUAAAGAAGCACCGGCUAACUACGUG